rnacentral:tRNA from 1 species
GGGGCGUGGCUCAGCGGUAGAGCAUCGCCUUGCCAAGGCGAGGGUCGCGGGUUCGAUUCCCGUCGUCCGCU